AUACGGAGGGUGCAAGCGUUAUCCGGAUUUAUUGGGUUUAAAGGGUGCGUAGGCGGUUAUUUAAGUCAGUGGUGAAAGUUUUCGGCUCAACCGGAAAAUUGCCAUUGAUACUGGGUAGCUAGAAUAUGGUUGCUGUGAGUAGAAUGUGUGGUGUAGCGGUGAAAUGCAUAGAUAUCACACAGAAUACCGAUUGCGAAGGCAUCUCACAAAGCCAUCAUUGACACUGAGGCACGAAAGUGUGGGGAUCAAACAGGAUUAGAUACCCUGGGAGUCCACGCUGUAAACGAUGAAUACUAGGUGUAGGGGGUAUCGACUCCCUCUGUGCCGCAGUUAACACAAUAAGUAUUCCGCCUGGGGAGUACGGCCGCAAGGUUGAAACUCAAAUGAAUUGGCGGGG
rnacentral:rRNA from 1 species